rnacentral:rRNA from 1 species
GACGAACGCUGGCGGCGUGCCUAAUACAUGCAAGUAGAACGCUGAAGGAGGAGCUUGCUCUUCUGGAUGAGUUGAGAACGGGUGAGUAACGCGUAGGUAACCUGCCUGGUAGCGGGGGAUAACUAUUGGAAACGAUAGCUAAUACCGCAUAAAAUUGAUUAUUGCAUGAUAGUCAAUUAAAAGGUGCAAUUGCAUCACUACCAGAUGGACCUGCGUUGUAUUAGCUAGUUGGUGAGGUAACGGCUCACCAAGGCAACGAUACAUAGCCGACCUGAGAGGGUGAUCGGCCACACUGGGACUGAGACACGGCCCAGACUCCUACGGGAGGCAGCAGUAGGGAAUCUUCGGCAAUGGACGGAAGUCUGACCGAGCAACGCCGCGUGAGUGAAGAAGGUUUUCGGAUCGUAAAGCUCUGUUGUAAGAGAAGAACGAGUGUGAGAGUGGAAAGUUCACACUGUGACGGUAUCUUACCAGAAAGGGACGGCUAACUACGUG